CCUACGGGGGGCAGCAGUGAGGAAUAUUGGUCAAUGGACGAGAGUCUGAACCAGCCAAGUAGCGUGAAGGAUGACUGCCCUAUGGGUUGUAAACUUCUUUUAUAUGGGAAUAAAACGUUCCACGUGUGGGAUUUUGUAUGUACCAUAUGAAUAAGGAUCGGCUAACUCCGUGCCAGCAGCCGCGGUAAUACGGAGGAUCCGAGCGUUAUCCGGAUUUAUUGGGUUUAAAGGGAGCGUAGGUGGAUUGUUAAGUCAGUUGUGAAAGUUUGCGGCUCAACCGUAAAAUUGCAGUUGAAACUGGCAGUCUUGAGUACAGUAGAGGUGGGAGGAAUUCGUGGUGUAGCGGUGAAAUGCUUAGAUAUCACGAAGAACUCCGAUUGCGAAGGCAGUUCACUGGACUGCAACUGACACUGAGGCUCGAAAGUGUGGGUAUCAAACAGGAUUAGAUACCCUAGUAGUC
rnacentral:rRNA from 1 species